rnacentral:rRNA from 1 species
UACAGAGGGUGCAAGCGUUAAUCGGAAUUACUGGGCGUAAAGGGUGAGUAGGUGGUAAAUUAAGUCAUAUGUGAAAUACCCGAGCUUAACUUGGGGGCUGCGUAUGAUACUGAAUUACUAGAGUACUGUAGAGGGUGGUGGAAUUUCCAGUGUAGCGGUGAAAUGCGCAGAUAUUGGAAGGAACACCAGUGGCGAAGGCGGCCACCUGGACAGAUACUGACACUGAGUCACGAAAGCGUGGGGAGCAAACAGG